AAAGACAGAUUAAUUAUAUCAUAAACAGUGUUGCAUAUAAAUAAAUACAUUCACAGUAAAAGGACAGCGAUAAUUGAAUAAUAUUAAUGAAUUUACAUUAAACAUCUUUCUUAUCGAUGUUGUAUCGAUAGAUUAAAUAUUUAAUUUGAUAAUUUAAAAUAUAUAUGAAUAAUAGUGAAGAAUUUCAUGAAAUAUAUAGUAGGAUUAAUAAUCAAUAGACGAUAAAUAUAUCGACGUAGAUACGUCGACGUAGGCAUGUCAUCGAGAGAAGUCAUUAUAAGUUGAAUACGUGUGGGCAUAUAAUAACAUUUGGUACUCCUUGUAAUACUUCUCAUUAAUUUCUUAAUACGCAUCACAGAUAUGUCGUUGUUUAUGGAAAACAAAAACAGGAUAACAUUACAAACUUACUCGUUCCAAUUAACAUUAAAGCUGUUUACAGAACAUUGAAAUCGAUUCAAAAUAUUUCGAUAUGUCAAGUAGCAAAAUUUGUUUAUACGGAUAUCAAUAUUUUUUUUAUUCGCAAUUACCAGUGGAGAUCAUAAUCGAAUAAAUGGCAAGAUAACCUCGAUUUCAUGCUCUGUCGCUUAAUUCCCAAGAAUUUAAUGUUAUGAAUAUAAUUUUUUACAUUCGACAUUCAACAAUGUCAAUGAAGAUGUAUUGUACAAUAACAUAUGUAUAACAUUGCUAGCUACGAUUAUACAUGGAUAUAUUAUAAACACGAUAUAAGGAGAAUUGAUAAUCACAAAAAUAUAAUUAACAUGUUAUGUAGAACUUCCAGGCUGAACUAUGAUCAUAACACCAACAAUUUUCAUUAACAAUUAUAAUGAACUUUUAUGCAAAGUUGUACAAUAAAUAUUAAACUGACAA